rnacentral:rRNA from 1 species
UGCCAGCCGCCGCGGUAAUACGAAGGUCCCAAGCGUUGUUCGGAAUCACUGGGCGUAAAGCGCGCGUAGGCGGUUAUUUAAGUCAGAUGUGAAAGCCCCGGGCUCAACCUGGGAAUUGCCUCUGAUACUGGGUAACUAGAGUUUGGAAGAGGAGAGUAGAAUUUCAGGUGCAGCGGUGAAAUGCAUAGAGAUCUGAAGGAAUACCAGUGGCGAAGGCGACUCUCUGGUCCAAAACUGACGCUGAGGUGCGAAAGCGUGGGUAGCAAACGGGAUUAGAUA